rnacentral:snRNA from 1 species
CGGUCGGGUUCGAGCUGCUCGGU